UACGUAGGGUGCGAGCGUUGUCCGGAAUUAUUGGGCGUAAAGAGCUUGUAGGCGGUCUGUCGCGUCUGCUGUGAAAAUCCGGGGCUCAACCCCGGACUUGCAGUGGGUACGGGCAGACUAGAGUGUGGUAGGGGAGACUGGAAUUCCUGGUGUAGCGGUGAAAUGCGUAGAUAUCGAGAGGAACACCUGCGGCGAAGGCGGGUUGCUGGGCCGACACUGACGCUGAGGCGCGAAAGCCAGGGGAGCGAACGGG
rnacentral:rRNA from 1 species